rnacentral:misc_RNA from 1 species
GACAGAUUUAUAUAUACAUGUUCUCAUUCAAAAAAAAUCAGAGAGGCAAUUCCUAACCACUAAAGCAUAUAUAAUUAAUCUACCCUUGGAACGUAAUUGCAUUAAUACUAGAAAGCAGAUUAAAUUGAAAUUGGGCAUACCAAAGCAAUUAAAUUUCUUGGUGAUGGGGAUAAUUGAAGGUGAAUCAAUGGAAAUGCCUGUGGUGAUGAUGAUGGUGUCUAUGGUCAUCCCAACCAAAGCACUGCACAACAGGGUAACAACAUACAAACAAACAUCUACUAACCCUUUUAGAAAUGGAGGACACCAGAAAACAUGGCAUGCAUGGAUUCAUAUAUCUUCUUGUUCUGGUGAUCUUCCCUUGCUCUUGCUGGGAAAGACCAUGACUUUCCUUGCCCUUUGUCAUCCCAAAUCAACCACUUCAAAACUUUGAG